rnacentral:rRNA from 1 species
UACAGAGGUCUCAAGCGUUGUUCGGAUUCGUUGGGCGUAAAGGGUGCGUAGGUGGCGCCGUAAGUCGGGUGUGAAAUUUCGGAGCUUAACUCCGAAACUGCAUUCGAUACUGCGGUGCUUGAGGACUGGAGAGGAGACUGGAAUUCAUGGUGUAGCAGUGAAAUGCGUAGAGAUCAUGAGGAAGACCAGUGGCGAAGGCGGGUCUCUGGACAGUUCCUGACACUGAGGCACGAAGGCCAGGGGAGCAAACGGG